rnacentral:rRNA from 1 species
CCUACGGGCGUCAGCAGUGAGGAAUAUUGGUCAAUGGGCGUAAGCCUGAACCAGCCAAGUCGCGUGAGGGAUGACGGUUCUAUGGAUCGUAAACCUCUUUUAUAAGGGAAUAAAGUGUGGGACGUGUCCUAUUUUGUAUGUACCUUAUGAAUAAGGAUCGGCUAACUCCGUGCCGGCAGCCGCGGUAAUACGGAGGAUCCGAGCGUUAUCCGGUUUUAUUGGGUUUAAAGGGUGCGUAGGCGGCCUUUAAAUCAGCGGGGAAAGUCCGGGGGUCAACCAUCGAAUUGCCGUUGAAACUGGGGGGCUUGAGUAGGUUUGAGGCAGGCGGAAUGCGUGGUGUAGCGGUGAAAUGCAUAGAUAUCACGCAGAACCCCGAUUGCGAAGGCAGCAUGCCGGGCCAUGACUGACGCUGAGGCACGAAAGCGUGGGGAUCAAACAGGAUUAGAUACCCGGGUAGUC